rnacentral:rRNA from 1 species
AACGAACGCUGGCGGCGCGCCUAAUACAUGCAAGUCGAGCGAGAAGACGUAGCAAUACGUUUGUAAAGCGGCGAACGGGUGAGGAAUACAUGGGUAACCUACCCUCGAGUGGGGAAUAACUAGCCGAAAGGUUAGCUAAUACCGCGUACGCUCCUUGGACUUCGGUUCAGGGAGGAAAGCGAUACCGUGGGUAUCGCGCUCUUGGAUGGGCUCAUGUCCUAUCAGCUUGUUGGUGAGGUAACGGCUCACCAAGGCUUCGACGGGUAGCUGGUCUGAGAGGACGAUCAGCCACACUGGCACUGCGACACGGGCCAGACUCCUACGGGAGGCAGCAGUAAGGAAUAUUGCGCAAUGGGCGAAAGCCUGACGCA